rnacentral:rRNA from 1 species
UGGGGAAUAUUGGGCAAUGGGCGCAAGCCUGACCCAGCCACGCCGCGUGAGUGAUGAAGGCCUUCGGGUCGUAAAGCUCUGUGGGGAGGGACGAACAAAUCUGGGGCUAAUCACCCGGGUCCUGACGGUACCUCCUUAGCAAGCACCGGCUAACCCUGUGCCAGCAGCCGCGGUAAUACAGGGGGUGCAAACGUUGCUCGGAAUCAUUGGGCGUAAAGCGCACGUAGGCGGUUCGUUAUGUCGGAUGUGAAAGCCCUUGGCUUAACCGAGGAAGUGCAUCCGAAACUGGCGAGCUAGAGUACUAAAGAGGAUCGCGGAAUUCCCGGUGUAGAGGUGAAAUUCGUAGAUAUCGGGAGGAACACCGGUGGCGAAGGCGGCGAUCUGGGUAGAUACUGACGCUGAGGUGCGAAAGCGUGGGGAGCAAACA